rnacentral:rRNA from 1 species
GGCAAGUAUAAAAAGAAACUAUUAUGGAUGGUUCGCUAUAUAUUUCAAGAUUAAUCUAGCAAGUAGGACUAGAAAUCAAAGAGAAAUCUUAUAAUUAGACAAAGUGAAUUGAAAUAUCUUAGUAACUUUAGGAAAAGAAAUCAAACGAGAUUGUUAUUUGGUGUCUUCUAAAUAACAAAAGCCUAUUAAAAAAUUAAAAUGGAAAAAAUCUGUUUGAAUAUAGGGGAACCUUCCUCUAAGGCUAAAGAAAAUAUAUAAGCGAUAGUGUAGUAGUACCGUGAGGGAAAAUACUGAAAUAGUAGUUUUAUAAGCAGCUCGAGUGAAAUUUUUAAAUAGAUAAUAAGAGCGUACCUUUUGCAUAAUGGGUCAGCAAGUUAAUUUUAGAUGCAAGCAUGUAAUAUAAUAUUAUUAUAUAUUUGCUUAGAUAAACCAAUUAUGAAAAAAUGAAUAAGUAUCUAGGAUUAGACCCGAAGGCUAGUGAUCUUACCAUGAUCAGGGUUGUAAAAGCCCGAACGGGUUAUCGUUGUAAAGAUAUCCGAGGAAUUGUGGUAAGUUAGUGAAAGACAAAACUGACUAGUAUAGCUGGUUUUCCGCGAAACCUAUGUAAGUAGGUAAUUUAAUUAACAUCUUAGCAGGUACAGAACUGUGAUCUCGGACAAUACCAUAGGUAUUUGUCAACAUCGGGGGGUUGUAGCGACUUUACCGGAGAGUAUUUGCACUCGGAAGGGCAAAGAUGAAUGUUAAAUAAUCGGACAUAGUGCGAUAAGGUUGUAUGUCUAAAGGGAAACAGCCCAGAACAAGAGUUAAGGUUCCAAAAUUAUUGUUAAGUGAAAUUAAGGAUGUUUUCUUUUAAAACAAUCAGGAAAUAGGCUUAGAAGCUGCCAUUUUUUGAAGACCUCGUAACAGAGCACUGAUUAAAUAAUUAGGAGAAAACGCCGAAAAUUUAACGGAUCUAAAAUAAUAUACCGAAACCUUGUACACAUAAUAUGUGGGGUAGCGGAACAUUGGAUAAAAAAGUAAAUUUAUAUUUCUAAGAAAUAUUUAAUUAAGGGGUAGAGGUAUAAUAUAAAAAUAUUAGUGUUAGUAUUAGUAUUAAUAUUUUUAUUUUUAUAUUAUAAAAAGAAUUAGUAAGUACUAAAGUCUUUUGUAAUUUUUCGAGGUUAAGAAAAAUAGUUCCUUUUUAUCUUAAGUUUUAGUAGUAUGUUAACCUGUAGGUAUUAUUAUACUUCAUUGGACUAAAACACAAAAUAAUUUCCAAGAGAGAAUGCUGACAUGAGUAACGAAAAAGGCUUUUAGCCUCGCCUUAAGCUUAUGGCUUCUAUAUCAAACCGGUGUCUAAGAAUAUUAAUCAAAGGAUAAUUUUGAUGAUAUAUAAUAUACUCUUGUAAAUAGAGUAAAAAGUAAAACCUUUAUUAAGUAAUAAAGGUUCAGGAAAACUUUUUACAAAGUUUAUAUAUUUUAAAUAUAUAAUCAGAAACAUAUUACACCGUACCUAGAAACUAACCCAAGUAAGCAAGUAGAGUAUACACAGGCGUUUGAGUGAACAAUCAUUAAGGAACUCGGCAAAUUGACUCUGUACCUUCGGAAUAAGGAGGGCCAUUAUUAUUAUAUAUGAUGAAAUAUCAUAUUAAUAAUAAGAGGAAUCAUAAAAUAAUGUUGUACGACUGUUUAAUAAAAACACAGCACUCUGCAAAGAUAAAAAAUCAAAGUAUUGAGUGUGAUGUCUGCCCAAUGUCGGCUGGGUAACGGAUUUACCUUGGUUAUUAACUGAGGUUUUGAAGGACACCCCGAUUAAUGGCGGCCUUACCUAUGAGGGUCCUAAGGUAGCGAAAUACCUUGGCCGUUAAAUGCGGUCCUGCAUGAAUGACUUAACGAUACAACAGCUGUCUCGAUGAUUGUCUCAGUGAAAUUGGAAUAGCAGUGCAGAUACUGUUUACCUCUAGAUAGACGAGAAGACCCUAUGCAGCUUUACUGUUACUAAUUACAAGAGUACAAAUUUAGGAUGAUUUAUAGUGUAUAAGGUAGUUGUAUGAUAACAAUGAAACACCUUUAUUCGUAUCCUAUUAUAUCUCUUGAUGAUUGGGAGGCAGUUUAUGCGGGGCACAGAUCCCACAAAAAGUACCUGGGUAUAUCCAAAGUUCAUAUUGUAAAUUUGUAUAUUUAUAUACAAAUAUUUUAAUUUGUUAUAUUUAUUUUUAUAUUUAUACAGUUACUAUUCGAUUAAAUUCUAUAUUUAUUUUUAUUUUAAGUAAGAUUUUAACUAUAUGGUGAAUAGAUGUAUUUUAAACUUUAAUAUUUAAAAGUUUUUUGUUAUAUUAAUAUUGUAUUUGUCAAUAUUAAUAUGAUAUUUAUAUAUACUUUAAAAGUUUAAUGGCUUAAUCUUGCUUUACUGUUUGACCUACGAGUCUAUCAGUCGCGUAAGCGGGGCAUAUGAUCACAAGAUGCAUUAAGGAAAGGUCUUGGAUUAUAGAAAAAGUUACGCUAGGGAUUUAUAACUGUGAGUCCUCCAAUAUUAUAAAAUAUUGGUAAU